AACCAGCGCUGUCCAGAGCCUGGGGAGCUAGCUUUAUAAUAACCAGCGCUGUCCAGAGCCUGGGGAGCUAGCUUUAUAAUAACCAGCGCUGUCCAGAGCUUGGGGAGCUAGCUUUAUAAUAACCAGCGCUGUCCAGAGCCUGGGGAGCUAGCUUUAUAAUAACCAGCGCUGUCCAGAGCCUGGGGAGCUAGCUUUAUAAUAACCAGCGCUGUCCAGAGCCUGGGGAGCUAGCUUUAUAAUAACCAGCGCUGUCCAGAGCUUGGGGAGCUAGCUUUAUAAUAACCAGCGCUGUCCAGAGCCUGGGGAGCUAGCUUUAUAAUAACCAGCACUGUCCAGAGCCUGGGGAGCUAGCUUUAUAAUAACCAGCGCUGUCCAGAGCCUGGGGAAGUGUGGGCCCGUACAGCUGCGGUAGGUGCGCGAGACAAAACUUUACCAGCAUCAUAGCAGACGUAUCGGUGAAUCACUGUGACGUAUGAAAUACGAGUGAUAGUGUAAUCAAUGUGUAAUAACUACGUAAAAAAUGUAUGAACAUCUUCAAUUAUUGUGACAUGCAGUCCUAUUCAGGUCCUGAUUGGUCAACAAGCUUAUUUGAUGAGUCAAAUUGUGUUAUUUGAUGCUCAAAUGGCCAUAAGACCCAAAAGGCCAUAACAUAGAGCCAUGACUACAUGGAACUUGUAACGGCUGUCUGUAAGAGGGAACCAAGGUGCAGCAGAGGAUGUGUUCAUCAUUAGAAUUUUAAUUUAAUAAACAAGAGAACACUACAAAAUGAACAAAAACGACAGCAAACAGUCCUGUUAGGAAAAUACUCAAAACAGAAACAAUUACCCACAAAACCCAAAGGAAAAACAUGCUCCUUAUGUGUGACUCCCAAUCAGCAGCAACGAGCUUCAGCUGUGCCUGAUUGGGAGCCACACACGGCCCAAAACAAAGAAAUACCAAAACAUAGAAAAAGGAACAUAGAACGCCCACCCAAUGUAACACCCUGGCCUAACCAAAAUAAAGAACAAAAAACCCCUCUCUAUGGCCAGGGCGCUACAGAACUCUAUUCCACAUCAGGCAACUGAUGCAAACAGUAGAAUGAGAUUUUAAAAAACAGAUAAAAAUACACCUUAUGGAACAGCAGGGACUGUGAAGAGACACACACACACACAUAGGCACAGACACAUGCAAGAUUGAAUCCCUGAGCUGACAAGGUAAAAAAUCUCUCGUUCUGCCCCUGAACAAGGCAGUUAACCCACUGUUCCUAGGCCGUCAUUGAAAAUAAGAAUUUGUUCUUAACUGACUUGCCUAGUUAAAUAAAGGUUAAAUAAAUAAAGUAAAAAUCAGCAUAUAUCAGUAUUUACCAGUCGAUAUCUGUCUUUACCAGUCGAUAUCAGUCUAUAUCUGUCUUUACCAGUCUUUAUUUGUGUUAUAUUGGUACUGUGAGUUCUAUCUCAGCUCUCUGAAGUCUCCUCCAUGUUUCUAUCCCUCAUCCAACCACAUGAUUUAACCUGCUGGUUGAUUUACACAUUUGAUUUUCAAAUUAUAUUUAAUAAACUGUAUAUCAGAAUAUUCAUUCCCAGAACAGCAAGUCCCUUUAACAGAAUAUCAACCUUUGUUUAAUUUGUUGUUUGUUCGUAGUGCACUGCAGCCUCCUGGUUGUUUUCAUUUAGAUACAUUGUGUUGUUUAAAAUCUCUGUUCAAAAUAUAUGAGCAAUAAGCCUAAGAUUGUUGUGUUUAAUACCACUGCACUGUGUUUCUGUUUGUGUGUUUUAUGGCCAUUCAUUUUAAAUUGACACAUUACAAAUCUGUUUAUUCCUAGUUAAGUUUCAAUACAACAGCAACAAAUGUCAUUUGUAAUCUUGGAGUUAUGUAGUUACAAGUUCUACAGAAAUAAACCGCUUAUUGAUGAUUGGAAAUGUGAAAUGUGUAGGGGAGCAAGAUAUAAAGCAGAACAAUUCAAUGACUUGUGUUUUGUUCCGCCGGGCGCUAUGAAAACAUUCAUUUGAUUCUGGCCCCCCGUCUGUUGUUAUCAAUAACAACACCACCUUCCUCUUCAUUUCAUCCACCAGUGGUUAUACAGAGAAUAAUGUGGAGUUACCUAUGUGGCUCUGACAUUAUAAAUCACCUCGCCCGAUCGUAUGGGGAAUCGAUUGAUCCUUCCUGAUAUAUCUGUGAAAUUUACUGUUAUUUCUGUUUUCAAUUAAAGAUACAGUCAGAUAAUGACUUAAUUGGA
rnacentral:lncRNA from 1 species